AAACAACACUCACUGCAGUAGAGAAGGACAGACACGCAAGGCAAAGGCAGCCCUUAGACUGAUGGGGAGCAAGGCGUUAUGAGGAAGCAUGUGGCGGCCAGUCCUGCUGCCGAAGGGGCGGCCCUCUCAUUCCCACAAAAGGUCACCAAACUGAGGCAAGGAUCUUCUACACCACUCCCUGCGUUUAAAUAUAUUGAACUUAAAAUAAUCAAGAAAAUGAGAUGGUUUCAAAAGCGCUGCUCUGAUACUAGAGCAUCUGGGGUCACCAGGAAAAUCAUACUGAUUUCUGCAGGAAGCAUCACAACCAAGAGAGGGCCUUUGAAAAUGCCACCCUAAGCAGAGCAGGCAGCAAGUAAAAUCUUUGUUAUUUAAGGUCAUGGCUGGAAGAGGAACUGCAAUGAAGUAUUUCAUUCAAUUAUCUAAAAAGCAAUUCACAAUUCACUACUUCUUUUUACUACAUCCUUACUUUGACUUAUUUUACUGUAAGAGGAGUAAGUACUCUAGUUUAUAAAAACAAAGCAAAAACCGACAAAAAAAUAAUAA